rnacentral:rRNA from 1 species
CUGGCGGCAGGCCUAACACAUGCAAGUCGAACGCACCUUCGGGUGAGUGGCGGACGGGUGAGUAACACGUGGGAACGUACCUUUAGGUUCGGAACAACUCAGGGAAACUUGAGCUAAUACCGAAUGUGCCCUUCGGGGGAAAGAUUUAUCGCCUUUAGAGCGGCCCGCGUUAGAUUAGCUAGUUGGUGAGGUAAUGGCUCACCAAGGCUACGAUCUAUAGCUGGUCUGAGAGGAUGAUCAGCCACACUGGGACUGAGACACGGCCCAGACUCCUACGGGAGGCAGCAGUGGGGAAUCUUGCGCAAUGGGCGAAAGCCUGACGCAGCCAUGCCGCGUGAAUGAUGAAGGUCUUAGGAUUGUAAAAUUCUUUCAGCAGGGACGAUAAUGACGGUACCUGGAGAAUAAGCCCCGGCAAACUUCGUGCCAGCAGCCGCGGUAAUACGAAGGGGGCUAGCGUUGUUCGGAAUUACUGGGCGUAAAGCGCACGUAGGCGGAUUGUUAAGUCAGAGGUGAAAUCCCGGAGCUCAACUUCGGAACUGCCUUUGAUACUGGCAAUCUCGAGUCCGGAAGAGGUUAGUGGAAUUCCCAGUGUAGAGGUGAAAUUCGUAGAUAUUGGGAAGAACACCAGUGGCGAAGGCGGCUAACUGGUCCGGUACUGACGCUGAGGUGCGAAAGCG